rnacentral:rRNA from 1 species
GAUGAACGCUGGCGGCGUGCCUAAUACAUGCAAGUCGAGCGAACAGACGAGGAGCUUGCUCCUCUGACGUUAGCGGCGGACGGGUGAGUAACACGUGGAUAACCUACCUAUAAGACUGGGAUAACUUCGGGAAACCGGAGCUAAUACCGGAUAAUAUAUUGAACCGCAUGGUUCAAUAGUGAAAGACGGUUUUGCUGUCACUUAUAGAUGGAUCCGCGCCGCAUUAGCUAGUUGGUAAGGUAACGGCUUACCAAGGCAACGAUGCGUAGCCGACCUGAGAGGGUGAUCGGCCACACUGGAACUGAGACACGGUCCAGACUCCUACGGGAGGCAGCAGUAGGGAAUCUUCCGCAAUGGGCGAAAGCCUGACGGAGCAACGCCGCGUGAGUGAUGAAGGUCUUCGGAUCGUAAAACUCUGUUAUUAGGGAAGAACAAUUGUGUAAGUAACUAUGCACGUCUUGACGGUACCGAAUCAGAAAGCCACGGCUAACUACGUG